GGGCCCUUAGCUCAGUGGUUAGAGCGCUCGCCUCACACGCGAGAGGUCACAGGUUCGAAUCUUGUAGGGCCCA
rnacentral:tRNA from 1 species